rnacentral:rRNA from 1 species
CACGUAGGGCGCAAGCGUUAUCCGGAUUCACUGGGUUUAAAGGGUGCGUAGGCGGGCAGGUAAGUCCGUGGUGAAAUCUCUGAGCUUAACUCAGAAACUGCCAUGGAUACUAUUUGUCUUGAAUAUUGUGGAGGUAAGCGGAAUAUGUCAUGUAGCGGUGAAAUGCUUAGAUAUGACAUAGAACACCAAUUGCGAAGGCAGCUUACUACACAGUUAUUGACGCUGAGGCACGAAAGCGUGGGGAUCAAACAGG